rnacentral:rRNA from 1 species
AAACCAGCACCUCAAGUGGUCAGGAGGAUUAUUGGGCCUAAAGCAUCCGUAGCCUGUCCUGUAAGUUUUCGGUUAAAUCCACUAGCUCAACUAGUGGGCUGCCGAAAAUACUGUAGAACUAGGGAGUGGGAGAGGUAGACGGUAUUCGGUAGGAAGGGGUAAAAUCCUUUGAUCUAUUGAGGACCACCUGUGGCGAAGGCGGUCUACCAGAACACGUUCGACGGUGAGGGAUGAAAGCUGGGGGAGCAAACCGGAUUAGAAACCCCGGUAGUCC